AUGUAUUUUUUAUGUCACCUGACUCUUUUUGUCUCUUUCUUAAACUGGUGCUUUCACCGAGCAAUCCUCAUCUACUCUUCUCCACAUGGCAUGAACACUAGGAAAAUCAACAUUUGGCUUUCAAGAACCACUCUGAGGUCCUCCUUGUUCCACGUUCUCAAAGUUUCUUCAGUAAAGUCACAAAGGGACCCCGAGAGAGAGGAACAGAAAAAACAGGCAGAGUUGCUGGGGAGGGAAUGAAGAAAAGCCUCUUCAGUGGUAGAGAUAUGAGAAGUUCUUCCUAGGCAUAUUUUUUCUCUCUUAUUUAUGUCAGUCACAAUUCUGUUGAUGAACUAUUACUGUUCAGAUACAACAUGCUUAGCAGAGCAAAGGAUUCAUCAAGAUUGAAUUGAAAUGUAUGUAUAUUUUGUAAAUUGAAAUGUAUGUAUAUUUUUACCUUUUCUAAAGUGAUUGGAAAUACAGUUGCUUUCUGAAAUGCAGCAGCAUUCAUUUUUCAGGAUGCUACUGUGAAUAAGGGUUAAGUUAAGUGGAGCUUGAAAAAGUCAACCACAUUAUUUUCUCCUAGAGAAUUUAUCUUUAUGUGAGGUCCUGAA
rnacentral:lncRNA from 1 species